rnacentral:rRNA from 1 species
UCGGGAAUAUUGCGCAAUGGAGGAAACUCUGACGCAGUGACGCCGCGUGCAGGAAGAAGGUUUUCGGAUUGUAAACUGCUUUAGACAGGGAAGAAUAAAGACAGUACCUGUAGAAUAAGCUCCGGCUAACUACGUGCCAGCAGCCGCGGUAAUACGGAGGGUGCAAGCGUUAAUCGGAAUAACUGGGCGUAAAGGGCAUGCAGGCGGUUAUACAAGUAGGAUGUGAAAGCCUGGGGCUCAACCUCAGAACUGCAUUCUAAACUGUGUGACUAGAGUAUUGCAGGGGGAGACGGAAUUUCAGGUGUAGCGGUGGAAUGCGUAGAUAUCUGAAAGAACACCAAAGGCGAAGGCAGUCUCCUGGGGCAAAUACUGACGCUCAUAUGCGAAAGCGUGGGUAGCAAACAGGAUUAGAUACCCUGGUAGU